GACGAACGCUGGCGGCGUGCUUAACACAUGCAAGUCGAACGGAAAGGCCUUUUCGGCGGUACUCGAGUGGCGAACGGGUGAGUAACACGUGGGUGAUCUGCCCUGCACUCUGGGAUAAGCCUGGGAAACUGGGUCUAAUACCGGAUAGGACCGCACUUUAGUGUGUGUGGUGGAAAGUUUUUUCGGUGUAGGAUGAGCCCGCGGCCUAUCAGCUUGUUGGUGGGGUAAUGGCCUACCAAGGCGGCGACGGGUAGCCGGACUGAGAGGUUGGUCGGCCACAUUGGGACUGAGAUACGGCCCAGACUCCUACGGGAGGCAGCAGUGGGGAAUAUUGCACAAUGGGCGCAAGCCUGAUGCAGCGACGCCGCGUGGGGGAUGACGGCCUUCGGGUUGUAAACUCCUUUCGCCAGGGACGAAGCGUUUUGUGACGGUACCUGGAGAAGAAGCACCGGCUAACUACGUG
rnacentral:rRNA from 1 species